CUUCAAAGGACCAAAGGAACAAUGAGUUGUCUGCCCAUAAAUAUUACAAACCUGAAUGUUUUCCAGCCCACAAGAUUCAAAGACUGAAGUCUCACAGAAAGCUUGCUUCCAUAUUAUAAGGAAUAUAACCUGAUUAAAUAUACUGGAACCAUGCAUGAUCUACAAAUGUACCCUAAUAUAUGUGAUUGCUACAGUAAUGUGCAAAUGUUUUCAUUGAUUGAUAUAG